rnacentral:rRNA from 1 species
GAUGAACGCUGGCGGCGUGCCUAAUACAUGCAAGUCGAGCGAACGGACGAGAAGCUUGCUUCUCUGAUGUUAGCGGCGGACGGGUGAGUAACACGUGGAUAACCUACCUAUAAGACUGGGAUAACUUCGGGAAACCGGAGCUAAUACCGGAUAAUAUUUUGAACCGCAUGGUUCAAAAGUGAAAGACGGUCUUGCUGUCACUUAUAGAUGGAUCCGCGCUGCAUUAGCUAGUUGGUAAGGUAACGGCUUACCAAGGCAACGAUGCAUAGCCGACCUGAGAGGGUGAUCGGCCACACUGGAACUGAGACACGGUCCAGACUCCUACGGGAGGCAGCAGUAGGGAAUCUUCCGCAAUGGGCGAAAGCCUGACGGAGCAACGCCGCGUGAGUGAUGAAGGUCUUCGGAUCGUAAAACUCUGUUAUUAGGGAAGAACAUAUGUGUAAGUAACUGUGCACAUCUUGACGGUACCUAAUCAGAAAGCCACGGCUAACUACGUGCCAGCAGCCGCGGUAAUACGUAGGUGGCAAGCGUUAUCCGGAAUUAUUGGGCGUAAAGCGCGCGUAGGCGGUUUUUUAAGUCUGAUGUGAAAGCCCACGGCUCAACCGUGGAGGGUCAUUGGAAACUGGAAAACUUGAGUGCAGAAGAGGAAAGUGGAAUUCCAUGUGUAGCGGUGAAAUGCGCAGAGAUAUGGAGGAACACCAGUGGCGAAGGCGACUUUCUGGUCUGUAACUGACGCUGAUGUGCGAAAGCGUGGGGAUCAAACAGGAUUAGAUACCCUGGUAGUCCACGCCGUAAACGAUGAGUGCUAAGUGUUAGGGGGUUUCCGCCCCUUAGUGCUGCAGCUAACGCAUUAAGCACUCCGCCUGGGGAGUACGACCGCAAGGUUGAAACUCAAAGGAAUUGACGGGGACCCGCACAAGCGGUGGAGCAUGUGGUUUAAUUCGAAGCAACGCGAAGAACCUUACCAAAUCUUGACAUCCUUUGACAACUCUAGAGAUAGAGCCUUCCCCUUCGGGGGACAAAGUGACAGGUGGUGCAUGGUUGUCGUCAGCUCGUGUCGUGAGAUGUUGGGUUAAGUCCCGCAACGAGCGCAACCCUUAAGCUUAGUUGCCAUCAUUAAGUUGGGCACUCUAAGUUGACUGCCGGUGACAAACCGGAGGAAGGUGGGGAUGACGUCAAAUCAUCAUGCCCCUUAUGAUUUGGGCUACACACGUGCUGCAAUGGACAAUACAAAGGGCAGCGAAACCGCGAGGUCAAGCAAAUCCCAUAAAGUUGUUCUCAGUUCGGAUUGUAGUCUGCAACUCGACUACAUGAAGCUGGAAUCGCUAGUAAUCGUAGAUCAGCAUGCUACGGUGAAUACGUUCCCGGGUCU